rnacentral:rRNA from 1 species
UACGGGGGGGAGCAAGCGUUGUUCGGAUUUACUGGGCGUAAAGGGCGCGUAGGCGGCGCAACAAGUCACUUGUGAAAUCUCCGGGCUUAACCCGGAGCGGCCAAGUGAUACUGUCGUGCUAGAGUGCGGAAGGGGCUACUGGAAUUCUCGGUGUAGCGGUGAAAUGCGUAGAUAUCGAGAGGAACACCUGCGGCGAAGGCGGGUAGCUGGGCCGACACGUGACGCUGAGGCGCGAAAGCCAGGGAGCGAACGGG